rnacentral:rRNA from 1 species
UCCUACGGGAGGCAGCAGUGAGGAAUAUUGGUCAAUGGCCGGAAGGCUGAACCAGCCAAGCCGCGUGAAGGACGAAGGUGCCAAGCAUUGUAAACUUCUUUUGUCAAGGGACAAAAUCAGGCUCGAGAGCCUGACCGAGGGUACUUGAAGAAAAAGCAUCGGCUAACUCCGUGCCAGCAGCCGCGGUAAUACGGAGGAUGCGAGCGUUAUCCGGAUUUAUUGGGUUUAAAGGGUGCGCAGGCGGAAGCGGCAAGUCAGCGGUAAAAUUGCGGGGCUCAACCUCGCCGAGCCGUUGAAACUGCUCU